rnacentral:tRNA from 1 species
GCGGGUGUAGUUCAAUGGUAGAAUUCCAGCCUUCCAAGCUGGCCGUGUGGGUUCAAUUCCCAUCACCCGCUCCA